AGUCAUAUAUAUAGAGAGAAAGAAUAUGGGUGUGAAGAAGAGAGAGAGAAAAGUGUGAGAGUGAUGCAAAAUAUAGAUAUGGAGAUAGAAAGUGAGUGAGAGCUCAGAAGCCAUAUUUCUCCACCACCAGAAGAAUUUCUAAGCGAUUUAUUGUUGGUCGACUGAGCUAUUCGUAUAUUGGGUGGGGAGGCAGUCGUAAUAUCUCAUCUUUUCUUUUGGUUUCUAGAAUUAUCCUGAGAGAGAUUAUACGAGAGAGAAAAAUCGAGGGUUUUCCUCCGAAGAAUUAUCUUGUCUUUUGGUUUCUACAAUCAUCUUGUCUGAGAGACGUUGUAGUGGAGAAAAAGAAAUCAAGGGUUUUCAUUCACAUAGCGCCUUCGCCGUCACAUCGACACUGGCGCCGAAGAACUUGGCUCUCUUCCCCAUCCAACGGCACCUUGCCGUCACACCUGCAUCGGGCCGUAAGAACUCGGCUUUUUUUCCCAUCCACUGGUGUCUUGCUGCCUUCAUGUACACAACCAGCAUAUCCAGCCAACCACAGCAAUUUAUGCAUUCCACUUAGGCCUGGCAACGGUAUUGGGCAAGGAACUUUGCUGGAUGGAGACGUUUUACUAUAGCACAACCAUGGACUGUUCAUAUAGCAGUAGCAUGUCUUGAAAAAGCAAGCCGCAUAAAUUUCACUAUUACUCAAAAUGUAGACAGGUGAACGGCCCUUAAAUACAUAAUUUUGUUUCUGAAAUAGUCCUAAGCUGGCUGUAUUAGAAAUCUAGAAAUGCACUGUCUUUUUACAGGCUGCACCAUCGUACUGGAAGCCCUACUUGAGUUACACGGAACUGUAUAUAUUCUUGCUUGUACAAAUUGCAGCUUUUCUCUUCCUAGAAAUUCAUUUCAAGACCAAGUGAAGACUCUUAAUCCAAAGGUUAAGUCUUUUGGUAUUUGAGUUAUUGUUUCACUGUAGUAAUUCUAUCAAGUUCUUUUUUUGUCUGAA